GGUUAAGCGACUAAGCGUACACGGUGGAUGCCCUGGCAGUCAGAGGCGAUGAAGGACGUGCUAAUCUGCGAAAAGCGCCGGCGAGGUGAUAUGAACCCUUGACCCGGCGAUGUCCGAAUGGGGAAACCCAGUGCAAUCCGUUGCACUAUCGUUAACUGAAUACAUAGGUUAACGAGGCGAACCGGGGGAACUGAAACAUCUAAGUACCCCGAGGAAAAGAAAUCAACCGAGAUUCCCCCAGUAGCGGCGAGCGAACGGGGAGCAGCCCGGAGUCUGAAUCAGCUUGUGUGUUAGUGGAACGGUCUGGAAAGUCCGACGGUACAGGGUGAUAGUCCCGUACACGAAAGCACACAUGCUGUGAACUCGAAGAGUAGGGCGGGACACGUGGUAUCCUGUCUGAAUAUGGGGGGACCAUCCUCCAAGGCUAAAUACUCCUGACUGACCGAUAGUGAACCAGUACCGUGAGGGAAAGGCGAAAAGAACCCCGGCGAGGGGAGUGAAAAAGAACCUGAAACCGUGUACGUACAAGCAGUGGGAGCCUCUUUAUGGGGUGACUGCGUACCUUUUGUAUAAUGGGUCAGCGACUUAUAUUCUGUAGCAAGGUUAACCGUAUAGGGGAGCCGAAGGGAAACCGAGUCUUAACUGGGCGUUAAGUUGCAGGGUAUAGACCCGAAACCCGGUGAUCUAGCCAUGGGCAGGUUGAAGGUUGGGUAACACUAACUGGAGGACCGAACCGACUAAUGUUGAAAAAUUAGCGGAUGACCUGUGGCUGGGGGUGAAAGGCCAAUCAAACCGGGAGAUAGCUGGUUCUCCCCGAAAGCUAUUUAGGUAGCGCCUCGUGAACUCAUCUUCGGGGGUAGAGCACUGUUUCGGCUAGGGGGCCAUCCCGGCUUACCAACCCGAUGCAAACUACGAAUACCGAAGAAUGAAUGUUAUCACGGGAGACACACGGCGGGUGCUAACGUCCGUCGUGAAGAGGGAAACAACCCAGACCGCCAGCUAAGGUCCCAAAGUCAUGGUUAAGUGGGAAACGAUGUGGGAAGGCACAGACAGCCAGGAUGUUGGCUUAGAAGCAGCCAUCAUUUAAAGAAAGCGUAAUAGCUCACUGGUCGAGUCGGCCUGCGCGGAAGAUGUAACGGGGCUAAACCAUGCACCGAAGCUGCGGCAGCGACGCUUAUGCGUUGUUGGGUAGGGGAGCGUUCUGUAAGCCGUUGAAGGUGUGCUGUGAGGCAUGCUGGAGGUAUCAGAAGUGCGAAUGCUGACAUAAGUAACGAUAAAGCGGGUGAAAAGCCCGCUCGCCGGAAGACCAAGGGUUCCUGUCCAACGUUAAUCGGGGCAGGGUGAGUCGACCCCUAAGGCGAGGCCGAAAGGCGUAGUCGAUGGGAAACAGGUUAAUAUUCCUGUACUUGGUGUUACUGCGAAGGGGGGACGGAGAAGGCUAUGUCAGCCGGGCGACGGUUGUCCCGGUUUAAGCAUGUAGGCGGAGGUUCCAGGUAAAUCCGGUACCUUAUUAACGCUGAGGUGUGAUGACGAGGCACUACGGUGCUGAAGUGAUAAAUGCCCUGCUUCCAGGAAAAGCCUCUAAGCAUCAGGUAACACGAAAUCGUACCCCAAACCGACACAGGUGGUCAGGUAGAGAAUACCAAGGCGCUUGAGAGAACUCGGGUGAAGGAACUAGGCAAAAUGGUGCCGUAACUUCGGGAGAAGGCACGCUGAUGUGUAGGUGAAGCCCCUGCGGGCGGAGCUGAAAUCAGUCGAAGAUACCAGCUGGCUGCAACUGUUUAUUAAAAACACAGCACUGUGCAAACACGAAAGUGGACGUAUACGGUGUGACGCCUGCCCGGUGCCGGAAGGUUAAUUGAUGGGGUUAGCGGCAACGCGAAGCUCUUGAUCGAAGCCCCGGUAAACGGCGGCCGUAACUAUAAUAACGGUCCUAAGGUAGCGAAAUUCCUUGUCGGGUAAGUUCCGACCUGCACGAAUGGCGUAAUGAUGGCCAGGCUGUCUCCACCCGAGACUCAGUGAAAUUGAACUCGCUGUGAAGAUGCAGUGUACCCGCGGCAAGACGGAAAGACCCCGUGAACCUUUACUAUAGCUUGACACUGAACACUGGUCCUUGAUGUGUAGGAUAGGUGGGAGGCUUUGAAGCGUGGACGCCAGUCUGCGUGGAGCCAACCUUGAAAUACCACCCUUUAAUGGCUGGUGUUCUAACGUAGACCCGUAAUCCGGGUUGCGGACAGUGUCUGGUGGGUAGUUUGACUGGGGCGGUCUCCUCCCAAAGAGUAACGGAGGAGCACGAAGGUUGGCUAAUCCUGGUCGGACAUCAGGAGGUUAGUGCAAUGGCAUAAGCCAGCUUGACUGCGAGCGUGACGGCGCGAGCAGGUGCGAAAGCAGGUCAUAGUGAUCCGGUGGUUCUGAAUGGAAGGGCCAUCGCUCAACGGAUAAAAGGUACUCCGGGGAUAACAGGCUGAUACCGCCCAAGAGUUCAUAUCGACGGCGGUGUUUGGCACCUCGAUGUCGGCUCAUCACAUCCUGGGGCUGAAGUAGGUCCCAAGGGUAUGGCUGUUCGCCAUUUAAAGUGGUACGCGAGCUGGGUUUAGAACGUCGUGAGACAGUUCGGUCCCUAUCUGCCGUGGGCGCUGGAGAAUUGAGGGGGGCUGCUCCUAGUACGAGAGGACCGGAGUGGACGCAUCACUGGUGUUCGGGUUGUCAUGCCAAUGGCACUGCCCGGUAGCUAAAUGCGGAAGAGAUAAGUGCUGAAAGCAUCUAAGCACGAAACUUGCCCCGAGAUGAGUUCUCCCUGAGACUUUAAGUCUCCUGAAGGAACGUUAAAGACGAUGACGUUGAUAGGUCGGGUGUGUAAGCGCAGCGAUGCGUUGAGCUAACCGAUACUAAUGAACCGUGAGGCUUAACCUU
rnacentral:rRNA from 1 species